rnacentral:rRNA from 1 species
CACGAAGUUAGCCGGGGCUUAUUCUUCCGGUACCGUCAUUAUCGCCCCGGACAAAAGAGCUUUACAACCCUAAGGCCUUCAUCACUCACGCGGCAUGGCUGGAUCAGGCUUGCGCCCAUUGUCCAAUAUUCCCCACUGCUGCCUCCCGUAGGAGUCUGGGCCGUGUCUCAGUCCCAGUGUGGCUGAUCAUCCUCUCAGACCAGCUACUGAUCGUCGCCUUGGUAGGCCAUUACCCCACCAACUAGCUAAUCAGACGCGGGCCGAUCCUUCGGCAGUAAACCUUUCCCCAAAAGGGCGUAUCCGGUAUUAGCGCUAGUUUCCCAGCGUUAUUCCGAACCGAAGGGUACGUUCCCACGUGUUACUCACCCGUCUGCCGCUGACACCCGAAGGUGCCCGCUCGACUUGCAUGUGUUAAGCCUGCCGCUAGCGUUCGCUCCUGAGCCAGGAUCAAACUC